UUAUGCUGUUUCAAACAUGGUUUUCACAUAAACUCUAGUAAUGUGCAUAUUUCUAAAUAUAGAACAUGUUGGAUGUCAGUGCUUAAUGCUUUUUGUUUGUAUCUAAAUUGCAGGUAACAAACAAGAUGGCUUCUGCUGUGGCAGUAGAGCCUGAGAUGUCCCCCAUACAUGGUGCUUCACAUGAGGAUUCAGACCAAGAUGAUGCUUAUGCACAGAAGCCAGUGUGUACAAGGAGAGGAUUCAGAAGAUGAGGGCAGUGUGGCACCCCUAUUGGAAUGUACCUCAUCAUCUGCCCAAAACCAAGUGGUGUCAGCAAAAAUGAGAGAAGCCAGUGUGGCACAAGGCGAGGACUCAGAAGAUGAGGACAGUGCGGCAUCCCUGCAAGAAUGUACCUCAUCAUCUGCCCAAAACCAGAUGGUGUGAACAACAAAGAGAGGUAAACAAUCUGCUGUCAAAAGACGUUGGACGCCAGAGGAAUCUGCUGCAGUUUACAGACAUUUAAGGAAAUUCAUAGUGAGAAGCCAAGUUCCCGAAAAAGUGGACUGUGAGCACUGUAUUACUGCAGAACCUCAAGCACUAGGAAACAGAGACUGGAAAGCAGUAAAAUACUUCAAGAAUCUUCUGCCAUCAGAAGAGAACUACAGUGAAUUGCUACUAGAUGUGAGCAGUGUGUGGAUUCUGCUUUAUUCAAACUGUACCUGCCAGGUAACACUAUCUACACAGCUGCAUUUACAAACACAAACAGAUGAUGGAGUAAACAGAGCAGCCAUCUUAGUACCUUAAAAUGGCCAAUUUCCUGUUAAGAGAAUGUUCUGUUUGUUGUGGAAUGUUACAUAAGACUGCCAAGUUUUGUUCAUUCAUUAGGGUUAUGUCGUGUUAUGUCUGUGUUUCGUUGUCCCUCUCUGUCUCAUUCUCUUUCUAUGUCUGGUUCUGUCUCUAUGUCUCAUCUCUCUGUCUCGUCUCUCUCUCUGUCUCUCUGUCUCCUUGUGUCUCUCUGUCACGUCUCUCUGUUUCAUUGUCUCUGUCUCAUCUCUGUCUCAUUAUCUCUCUGUCUCGUCUCUGUCUCCUUGUCUCUAUGUCUCAUUCUCUCUCUGUAUCUCGUCCUCUCUCUAUGUCUAGUUCUCUCUUUGUGUCUAAUGUCUGUCUCUCGUUCUCUGCCUGUGUCUCAUUCUCUCUCUGUAUCUCGUC